rnacentral:rRNA from 1 species
GACGAACGCUGGCGGCGUGCUUAACACAUGCAAGUCGAACGGUGAAGCGCCUUCCUUUUUGGUGGGUGUGGAUGAGUGGCGAACGGGUGAGUAACACGUGAGUAACCUGCCCCCUUCUUCUGGAUAACCGCAUGAAAGUGUGGCUAAUACGGGAUAUUCUGGGUCUGUCGCAUGAUGGGUCUGGGAAAGAUAUUGUUUCGGUGGGGGAUGGGCUCGCGGCCUAUCAGCUUGUUGGUGGGGUGAUGGCCUACCAAGGCGGUGUCGGGUAGCCGGCCUGAGAGGGUGGACGGUCACACUGGGACUGAGACACGGCCCAGACUCCUACGGGAGGCAGCAGUGGGGAAUAUUGCACAAUGGGCGCAAGCCUGAUGCAGCGACGCCGCGUGAGGGAUGGAGGCCUUCGGGUUGUGAACCUCUUUCGCCAGUGAAGCGGGCCUGCCUCGUUUGUGGGUGGGUUGACGGUAGCUGGAUAAGAAGCGCCGGCUAACUACGUG